rnacentral:lncRNA from 1 species
GUCAAGCAAAGUAAUUAGUUAACUGAAGACUCUUUUACUUUUAGGAGGAAAGGAAGUGACAAGCAAAGAAGAAGUAAAAGGCAUGCACUGGGCUUCAUGGACGUGUGUUGCAGGCCUUGAAGUCAAUGGAAUUUGGCCCAAGUAUUCUGACAUCAAUGAUAUAAACUCAGUAGAUGGAAACUAUGUUGGCCAGGUUUUAGUUACAGCUGAUGACUAUGGAGUUGUAAAAUUAUUCCGAUAUCCAUGUUUAAGAAAAGGUACCUUUUUUCUAAUAUUUUAUUUACCCUGUCAUAAAAGAUGUUAGUUAUGCUUUUAUAUAGUCUAAAUAAAUUAUGAGCUAUUAUUUUAGAGUAU